GCUCAGAUUGAACGCUGGCGGCAGGCCUAACACAUGCAAGUCGAGCGGUAGCACAGAGAGCUUGCUCUCGGGUGACGAGCGGCGGACGGGUGAGUAAUGUCUGGGAAACUGCCUGAUGGAGGGGGAUAACUACUGGAAACGGUAGCUAAUACCGCAUAAUGUCGCAAGACCAAAGUGGGGGACCUUCGGGCCUCAUGCCAUCAGAUGUGCCCAGAUGGGAUUAGCUAGUAGGUGGGGUAACGGCUCACCUAGGCGACGAUCCCUAGCUGGUCUGAGAGGAUGACCAGCCACACUGGAACUGAGACACGGUCCAGACUCCUACGGGAGGCAGCAGUGGGGAAUAUUGCACAAUGGGCGCAAGCCUGAUGCAGCCAUGCCGCGUGUGUGAAGAAGGCCUUCGGGUUGUAAAGCACUUUCAGCGGGGAGGAAGGCGUUAAGGUUAAUAACCUUGGCGAUUGACGUUACCCGCAGAAGAAGCACCGGCUAACUCCGUGCCAGCAGCCGCGGUAAUACGGAGGGUGCAAGCGUUAAUCGGAAUUACUGGGCGUAAAGCGCACGCAGGCGGUCUGUCAAGUCGGAUGUGAAAUCCCCGGGCUCAACCUGGGAACUGCAUUCGAAACUGGCAGGCUAGAGUCUUGUAGAGGGGGGUAGAAUUCCAGGUGUAGCGGUGAAAUGCGUAGAGAUCUGGAGGAAUACCGGUGGCGAAGGCGGCCCCCUGGACAAAGACUGACGCUCAGGUGCGAAAGCGUGGGGAGCAAACAGGAUUAGAUACCCUGGUAGUCCACGCCGUAAACGAUGUCGAUGUGGAGGUUGUGCCCUUGAGGCGUGGCUUCCGGAGCUAACGCGUUAAAUCGACCGCCUGGGGAGUACGGCCGCAAGGUUAAAACUCAAAUGAAUUGACGGGGGCCCGCACAAGCGGUGGAGCAUGUGGUUUAAUUCGAUGCAACGCGAAGAACCUUACCUGGUCUUGACAUCCACAGAACUUUCCAGAGAUGGAUUGGUGCCUUCGGGAACUGUGAGACAGGUGCUGCAUGGCUGUCGUCAGCUCGUGUUGUGAAAUGUUGGGUUAAGUCCCGCAACGAGCGCAACCCUUAUCCUUUGUUGCCAGCGGUUAGGCCGGGAACUCAAAGGAGACUGCCAGUGAUAAACUGGAGGAAGGUGGGGAUGACGUCAAGUCAUCAUGGCCCUUACGACCAGGGCUACACACGUGCUACAAUGGCAUAUACAAAGAGAAGCGACCUCGCGAGAGCAAGCGGACCUCAUAAAGUAUGUCGUAGUCCGGAUUGGAGUCUGCAACUCGACUCCAUGAAGUCGGAAUCGCUAGUAAUCGUAGAUCAGAAUGCUACGGUGAAUACGUUCCCGGGCCUUGUACACACCGCCCGUCACACCAUGGGAGUGGGUUGCAAAAGAAGUAGGUAGCUUAACCUUCGGGAGGGCGCUUACCACUUUGUGAUUCAUGACUGGGGUGAAGUCGUAACAAGGU
rnacentral:rRNA from 1 species